AAUCCUUCCUCCGCCUCUUCGAUCUCUCUCUACGCUUCAUAUCCCUCAUUCUCUCGCGUCCCCGCCUCCUUCCUCUGUCACCCCGCAGGGCACGGAGGUCCGGCAGAUUCGCACCGAACUCUCUCAGAUCUCUUUCCGAUCUAAAAGGAUCUUCUUCUCCUCCUCCCCCUCGCCAUCACGCGAUCGAUCGGAGGAGCUCGCAGGCCCCUGCGCCCUCACCCCAACGCUCGCGCCGUGUUAGACGAAAUGCCGAGGCGAUUGCAGGGCGCUUCGCAGGCAUCAGAGAGGUGGGGCUCGGCGCUGGGAUGGUGGGCGCGGAGGUCCUGCAGAUCCGCACCGAACUCUCUCAGAUCUCUUUCUGAUCUGAAAGGAUCUUCUUCUCCUCCUCCCCCUCGCCAUCACGCGAUCGAUCGGAGGAGCUCGCAGGCCCUUGCGCCCUCUCCCUAACGCUCGCGCCCUGUUCGACGAAAUGCCGAGGUGAUUGCAGGGUGCUUCGCAGGCAUCGGAGAGGUGGGGCUCGGCGCUGGGAUGGUGGUAAAUGUUAUUCCUUUACAUAUAUAUGUCUGAUCAUGUAAAUAGAGGUAUAAAUUAGCAACUCUAGGUAAAACUCUUUCCUUUCCCCUUUCCUGCAGCAUGGUUUA